AGCGGCGGACGGGUGAGUAACGCGUGGGUAACCUGCCCUGUACACACGGAUAACAUACCGAAAGGUAUGCUAAUACGGGAUAACAUAAGAAAGUCGCAUGGCUUUCUUAUCAAAGCUUUUACGGUACAGGAUGGACCCGCGUCUGAUUAGCUAGUUGGUAAGGUAACGGCUUACCAAGGCGACGAUCAGUAGCCGACCUGAGAGGGUGAUCGGCCACAUUGGAACUGAGACACGGUCCAAACUCCUACGGGAGGCAGCAGUGGGGAAUAUUGCACAAUGGGCGAAAGCCUGAUGCAGCAACGCCGCGUGAGCGAUGAAGGCCUUCGGGUCGUAAAGCUCUGUCCUCAAGGAAGAUAAUGACGGUACUUGAGGAGGAAGCCCCGGCUAACUACGUGCCAGCAGCCGCGGUAAUACGUAGGGGGCUAGCGUUAUCCGGAAUUACUGGGCGUAAAGGGUGCGUAGGCGGUCUUUCAAGUCAGAAGUGAAAGGCUACGGCUCAACCGUAGUAAGCUUUUGAAACUGUAAGACUUGAGUGCAGGAGAGGAGAGUGGAAUUCCUAGUGUAGCGGUGAAAUGCGUAGAUAUUAGGAGGAACACCAGUUGCGAAGGCGGCUCUCUGGACUGUAACUGACGCUGAGGCACGAAAGCGUGGGGAGCAAACAGG
rnacentral:rRNA from 1 species